rnacentral:rRNA from 1 species
GAUGAACGCUGGCGGCGUGCCUAAUACAUGCAAGUAGAACGCUGAAGGAGGAGCUUGCUCUUCUGGAUGAGUUGCGAACGGGUGAGUAACGCGUAGGUAACCUGCCUGGUAGCGGGGGAUAACUAUUGGAAACGAUAGCUAAUACCGCAUGACAACAGUUAUUGCAUGAUAACUGUUUAAAAGGGGCAACUGCUCCACUACCAGAUGGACCUGCGUUGUAUUAGCUAGUUGGUGAGGUAACGGCUCACCAAGGCGACGAUACAUAGCCGACCUGAGAGGGUGAUCGGCCACACUGGGACGGAGACACGGCCCAGACUCCUACGGGAGGCAGCAGUAGGGAAUCUGCGGCAAGGGACGGAAGUCUGACCGAGCAACGCCGCGUGAGUGAAGAAGGUUGUCGGAUCGUAAAGCUCUGUUGUAAGAGAAGAACGAGUGUGAGAGUGGAAAGUUCACACUGUGACGGUAUCUUACCAGAAAGGGACGGCUAACUACGUG